CAGUUAGAUAGUUUAAGUUAGAAUAAUAGCUUUGGGGGUUAUAGGUCUCUUGGUUUGAGUUAAUUGA
rnacentral:tRNA from 1 species